AAAAAGGUAAGCUAAUAAAGCUACUGGGUUCAUACCCCACUUAUGGAAGUAAACUCCUCCCCUUCUUA
rnacentral:tRNA from 1 species